rnacentral:rRNA from 1 species
UACGUAGGGCGCAAGCGUGUCCGGAAUUAUUGGGCGUAAAGAGCUCGUAGGUGGUUUGUCGCGUCUGCCGUGAAAGCCCGGGGCUUAACUCCGGGUCUGCGGUGGAUACGGGCAGACUAGAGGCAGGUAGGGGAGAACGGAAUUCCCGGUGUAGCGGUGAAAUGCGCAGAUAUCGGGAGGAACACCGGUGGCGAAGGCGGUUCUCUGGACAGUUCCUGACGCUGAGGCACGAAGGCCAGGGGAGCAAACGG